AACGCGAAGAACCUUACCUUCUUUUGACAUCCAGAGAACUUUCCAGAGAAGGAUUGGUGCCUUUGGGAACUUUGAGACCGGUGGUGCAUGGCUGUUGUCAGGUUGUGUUGUGAAAUGUUGGGUUAAGUUCCGCAACGAGCGCAACCCUUAUCCUUGUUUGCCAGCGAGUAAAGUUGGGAACUUCAGGGAGGCUGCCGGUGAUAAACCGGAGGAAGGUGGGGGAGACGUCAAGUCAUCCUGGCCCUUACGAGUAGGGGUACCCCCGUGGUACAAUGGGGCAUACCGAGGGCGGCCAACCUGGGAAGGUGAGCGAAUUCCCAAAAAUGCGUUGUAGUCCGGAUUGGAGUUUGCAACUUGGCUCCCUGAAGUUGGAAUCGGUUGUAAUUGUGGAUCAGAAUGCCCCGGUGAAUACGUUUCCGGGCCUUGUACCCCCCGCCCGUCCCCCCCAGGGAGUGGGGCGCAAAAGAAGUUGGUAGUUUAACCUUUGGGGGGACGGUUACCCCUUUGUGGUUCCUGAAUGGGGUGAAGUCGUAACAAGGUA
rnacentral:rRNA from 1 species